GAGCCGGAUUCGAUCCUUUCACCGAUGUCAAGCAUCAUUGGGCGCGGUCAGUACUUGGGGGUAACCACCUGGGAACACCGCGUGCCGUU